rnacentral:pre_miRNA from 1 species
CAAGUACUCCCUCCCUUCCGAAUUACUCGUCGUGGAAAUGGAUGUAUCUAAAUAUAUUUUAGUUCUAGAUACAUUUAUUUCUGCGACGAGUAAUUUGAAACGGAGGGAGUAGUGU